GGGUGAUAAGGUCCGUGUUCGAAAGGGAAACAGCCCAGACCACCAGCUAAGGUCCCAAAAUAUAUGUUAAGUGGAAAAGGAUGUGGCGUUGCCCAGACAACUAGGAUGUUGGCUUAGAAGCAGCCAUCAUUUAAAGAGUGCGUAAUAGCUCACUAGUCGAGUGACACUGCGCCGAAAAUGUACCGGGGCUAAACAUAUUACCGAAGCUGUGGAUUGUCCUUUGGACAAUGGUAGGAGAGCGUUCUAAGGGCGUUGAAGCAUGAUCGUAAGGACAUGUGGAGCGCUUAGAAGUGAGAAUGCCGGUGUGAGUAGCGAAAGACGGGUGAGAAUCCCGUCCACCGAUUGACUAAGGUUUCCAGAGGAAGGCUCGUCCGCUCUGGGUUAGUCGGGUCCUAAGCUGAGGCCGACAGGCGUAGGCGAUGGAUAACAGGUUGAUAUUCCUGUACCACCUAUAAUCGUUUUAAUCGAUGGGGGGACGCAGUAGGAUA
rnacentral:rRNA from 1 species